CGGGGUGUAGCGCAGCCUGGCUAGCGCAUCUGGUUUGGGACCAGAGGGUCGUAGGUUCGAAUCCUAUCACCCCGA
rnacentral:tRNA from 1 species